GUGCUUAUUUCUGUAGCACAUAUAUUAAAAUCACAACGAUACAGAGAAGAUUAGCAUGGCCCCUGUAUAAGAAUGACACGCAAAUACACAAAGCAUUUCAUAUUUGU